GAUGAAGAACGCAGCGAAAUGCGAUAAGUAAUGUGAAUUGCAGAAUUCAGUGAAUCAUCGAAUCUUUGAACGCACCUUGCACCCUUUGGACUGCUCCAAAGGGUAUGCUCGUUUGAGUGUCAUUGUACUCUCACACUCUCUGAUCCUUUGGAUUUGGGGAGCAGUGGACUUGGGUGCUUGCUGCUUCCUUGUGGCUCACCUGAAUUGCAUCAGUGCAUCUCUCGAUUGGACAUAGUACGGCGUGAUAAGUGUCUUCGCCGGCACCUCAUAUGAGGGUGGCCGAUCGGGAGCUCUGUGCUUUCAAACCGUCUUCGGACAACGCUGACAACUUGACCUCAAAUCGAGUAGGACUACCCGCUGAACUUAAGCAUAUCAAUAAGCGGAGGA
rnacentral:misc_RNA from 1 species